rnacentral:rRNA from 1 species
GAUGAACGCUGGCGGCGUGCUUAACACAUGCAAGUCGAACGGAAAGGCUCCUGCUUGCAGGGGUACUCGAGUGGCGAACGGGUGAGUAACACGUGGGUGAUCUGCCCUGCACUUCGGGAUAAGCCUGGGAAACUGGGUCUAAUACCGGAUAGGACCACAUUUUGGAUGGUGUGGUGGAAAGUUUUUCGGUGUGGGAUGGGCUCGCGGCCUAUCAGCUUGUUGGUGGGGUAAUGGCCUACCAAGGCGUCGACGGGUAGCCGGCCUGAGAGGGUGUACGGCCACAUUGGGACUGAGAUACGGCCCAGACUCCUACGGGAGGCAGCAGUGGGGAAUAUUGCACAAUGGGCGCAAGCCUGAUGCAGCGACGCCGCGUGGGGGAUGACGGCCUUCGGGUUGUAAACUCCUUUCGCUAGGGACGAAGCGCAAGUGACGGUACCUGGAGAAGAAGCACCGGCUAACUACGUG